rnacentral:rRNA from 1 species
AACGAACGCUGGCGGCAUGCCUAACACAUGCAAGUCGAACGGGACCUUCGGGUCUAGUGGUGCACGGGUGCGUAACGCGUGGGAACCUGCCCUUAGGUUCGGUAUAUCUGCCCGAAAGGGGUGCUAAUACCGGAUAAUGUCCUCGUACCAAAGAUUUAUCGCCUAUGGAUGGGCCCGCGAUGGAUUAGCUAGUUGGUAGGGUAAAAGCCUACCAAGGCGACGAUCCAUAGCUGGUCUGAGAGGAUGAGCAGCCACACUGGGACUGAGACACGGCCCAGAUUCGGACGGGAGGAAGCAGGGGGAAAGAUUGAUCAAUGGACGACAGCCGGAGCAAGCCAGGCCGCGUGAGUGAUGAAUGCCUUUGGGUAGUAAAGCUCCUUUUCCCGGGAUGGUAAUGACAGGUACGGGAGAAAAAACUCCGGCUAAACCCCUGC